UGGCUUAUAUUCAUUGAUGAUUAUAGAAUGCAAUUCUAUAGGAGUAGCUAAUAGAAUAGUUACUAAGGCUU
rnacentral:tRNA from 1 species